rnacentral:lncRNA from 1 species
UGUACGUGGGAUGCAGAAGAUCCACCAUUUAGUUGAAGAACAUGGAGAACAGGAGAGGUGCCUGAGGACUGGAAGAAAGCCAAUGUCACCCCAGUCUUCAGAAAGGGUAAGAAGGAGGAGCCAGGAAACUACAGGCCUGUCAGCCUCCCCUCCAGCCCUGGAAAGGUGAUGGAACAGCUCAUCCUGGAUGCCAUCUCUAAGCAUCUGGAGGACAAGAAGGUGAUCAGGAGUAGUCAGCAUGGACUCACCAAAGGGAAAUCAUGCUGGACCUAUCUGAGAGCCUCCUGUGAUGGAAUGACUGGCUGGGUAAAUGAGGGGAGAGCAGUGGAUGUUGUCUACCCGGACUUCAGCAAGGCUUUGGACACUGUCUCUCAUCACAUCUUCACAGCCAAGCUCAGGAAGUGUGGGUUGGAUGAGUGGACAGUGAGGUGGAUUGAGAACUGGCUGGAUGGCAGAGCUCAGAGGGUUGUGGUGAAUGGCGCAGAGUCUAGUUGGAGGCCUGGAGCUAGCGGUGUCCCCCAGGGGUCAGUCAUCAGUGACCUGGAGGAAGGGACAGAGUGCACCCUCAGCAAGCUUGCUGAUGAUACUAAACUGGGAGGGGUGGCUGACACACCAGAAGACCGUGCUGCCUUUCAGAGGGGCCUGGACAGGCUGGAGAGGUGGGCGGAGAGGAACCUCCUGAAGUUCAACAAAGGCAAGUGCAGGGUCCUGCACCUGGGGAGGAAGAACCCCCAGGUGCCCCAGGACAGGCUGGGGGCUGACCUGCUGGAAAGUAGCUCUGCAGAGAAGGACCUGGGGGUCCUGGUGGACAACAAGUUGAGCAAGAGGCAGCAAUGUGGUCUUGUGGCCAAGAAGGCCAAUGGUCUCCUGGGGUGCAUGAGGAAGAGUGUUGCUAGCAGGUGGGAGGGAGGUGAUCCUGCCCCUCUCCUCAGCCCUGGGGAGGCCUCACCUGGAGCACUGUGUCCAGUUCUGGGCUCCCCAGUACCAGAGAGACAUGGCACUACUGGAGAGAGUCCAGCGGAGGGCUACAAAGACGAUGAGGGGACUGGAGCAUCUCUCCUCUGAAGAAAGGCUGAGAGAGCUGGGCCUGUUCAGUCUGGAGAAGAGAAGACUGAGAGGCAAUCUCAUCAAUGCAUACAAGUAUCUGAAGGGGGAUUGUCAAGAGGAUAGGGCCAGACUCUUCUCCAUGGUGCCCAGCAACAGGACAAGAGGCAAUGGGCAGAAACUGAACCACAGGAAGUUCCAUCUGAACCUGAGAAAAAACUUCUUUCCUG